UUGUGGAGGGAGAGAAAAAGUGGGCCACCACGAGGCGUGGCGGCUCACGGUUAGCAAUUUCCCCGUCUUCUGUGCAAUGCUCUAACCGUAGCCAACGUUAUUUUAUCUGAACAUUUUUGGGUUUGGGAAGGGUUGGGUUAGUUUCGUCGCCUGUGCCAUGUCCGUCACUCUUCUCACUCUUUUGCCGCAUUCCCGUUCCACUUCGUAUCGUCACCAGGGUGCCUGCCCUCCCUUUGCUUUAUCACAGUGCUCCUGCGCGCCUUCUCGGCUCACUCUCACUUGCGAAAGCAAGCGAGUGACUGGGGAGAGUAUGAGCGAGAACGAGAUUUUUGUGGGUUCUGGCUACUUGGUUGCAUCUGGGCAUGUUUCGUCUUGUGAGUGUUGGGAGUUUCGGGAGCUCUAUUCGUCGGCUCUGGGAAGUGGUCUGUAGCUGAGAUUGGACCUCUAUUGACUGCCAGUUGCUUCUUGGGUGGAUCGAAUUACGGAGUGCCUGAACCAAAGACAUUAUUUGCGGACUUAUAGUCUGGUUAGGAAACACAGCCAAGUGCUAUGUGGCUGUGCAAGGGAAUUUAUGAGUAGAAUUGUUUUUAAGAGGUGAUUGAUGGGAGAGGCAAUGGGUGUUUCCAGCGAUGGAGGCUAGAGGUGAGCCAUUUGAUUCAGGUCCUGAAAUAGAAUUGACGAAUAAGUGACCUGGAGAGUUCAUUAGGGUAUGAACAGAAUGAGCUACUAAGUUCCUGCAAUGGGGGAGAUGUGAGGGAUGUUUGACUGGUUUGUGAAAAUGGUGAUGGCAUGCUGGCGUCCUGUAAAGAGAUACAGAAAGAGGCAGGAUGGGACAGAUCGUCAAGAUCCAUUGCUUUGGAGCAAGGAUCUUUGUCCCCAUGCCGUAGGGGAAUUUUCAUAUGCAGUAGUUCAAGCCAAUGCAAUUUUGGAAGACAUGAGCCAAGUUGAGUCCGGUUCUUUCGGCACAUUUGUGGGUAUCUAUGAUGGGCAUGGAGGCCCUGAAGCUUCUCGUUGCAUAAAUGAAUCUUUAUUCAGUUUUGUACAGAAAAAUACUGCGGACCAAGGAGGUAUGUCAUGCGACGUCCUCUGUAAAGCUUUCAAGGAGGUAGAGGACAAGUUCUUCGAGAUAGUUCGGAAAGCUUGGGAUGUUAAGCCGCAAAUUGCCGCUGUUGGAUCUUGUUGUUUGGUGGGAGCCAUAUGGGAUUCCAAACUUUACGUCGCUAGUCUUGGAGAUUCUCGAGCAGUUUUAGGUAGUUUUUCCCGAGAUACUUCCCUUCCAGUGGCCAGGCAAAUCUCGACGGAGCACAAUGCAAGUAUCGAGGCAAUCCGGGAAGAGUUAUUUGCGAAGCAUGAAGAUGAUCCACAGAUCGUGGUGCUGAAACACGGGGUGUGGCGUGUGAAAGGCAUAAUUCAAAUUUCACGUUCAAUUGGUGAUUUUUACUUGAAGAGAGCUGAAUUCAAUCGGCCACCUCUCAUAGCCCGGUUCCGGCUUCCAGAGCCUCUCAAAAGGCCUGUGAUAAGCGCAGAGCCGGAGUGCAAUGUCAUCACACUAGGUCCUGAUGACGAGUUCGUUAUUUUUGCAUCCGAUGGCCUUUGGGAGCAUUUGAGUAGCAAAGAGGCUGUCGACAUUGUGUAUAGUCAACCUCGGGCUGGAAUUGCCAGGCGUUUGAUCAAAGCUGCUCUGCAAAAGGCUGCUACUAAGCGUGAAAUGCGAUACUCUGAUCUGAAGGGAAUUGAGCGCGGGAUACGACGACAUUUUCAUGAUGAUAUUACUGUCGUGGUUCUCUAUUUGGACACUAAGCUGCUCAACAAAGGUGGUAGCAUUUCUAAUCAUGUUUCUGUGAAAUGUGCAAAUGACAUGCCUAAAGGUGAUAACCCCAGCCGUUAGCCAGCUCUAACGUAGACUUAGCUAGGCCCCGCUGAAGUGUCUUUAUCAGGUUUUGCAAGUGCAACGCAAUCAGCAUUGUUACGAGGGGAAGGUCAGAAGACUGCAUAUUAUUGGAUUGGUCUCACAGAACUGCGCUGGGACCUUCAAAGAGCCAUCAUGCUAUCCUUGAGUAUUCACUGUGUUGAAAUGGUAGACCCCAGUUGGGGAAAUGGAGCGGCCCUGAACUAUCGAUAUUAUCAUAUCUCCUGGAAUCAUGUUAGUCUCUGCAGGUUCUAACAAUUAAAUGGUAAGGCUUAAUUGAUUUCCUUCUAAGCUGCUGAAGCGAACGGAAUCAGAAGAUGCGCGAGAUGAAUAGACAAUGUUGGCUAUAUUUUCGCUCUUUUUGGGUGUGCCUUGAAAUUGAUUUUGCGAACAUAGGCCUAAUUUUUAGUAAGUUUUUAUAGUAUAAUGAUGUACACUUGGUUUCUCCCUGUGCAUCACAAGUGUGUCGUGUGGCAUUGAGGCCGUGCUGCUCCAACGGCAGCCCAUUGUAAGUUAAGGUAAUCUGCUUUGAAGCGGCUUUGGACUCCUCGACUACAUGUCAAUUCGAUCUCGAAUUUGGAAGCAGCGAUGAGUGGUUUCUUCCAGUUUUUUGAAGUUUUCUCACGCCCCAGAUGCGUAUGUUAGUUUCAGAUGGGAUUGUCCAACGACCUCUAGGUUGUGCUGGUCUUCGGCGUUCCACCAGUUUCCCUUGCCAUGGCUGCAAGCUGCAAUUGAGGCCCUCACUUAACAAGCGUUCAACCUUAAGAAUGUAAAUGAAGUGAUGAACGAGUAACGCUCUAGUCCAGGGGGCAAUCGUUUCUUUGCGUAGCCCAAUUGCUGCUGCUGCUCCACAAGCUGAUGUAGAUUCCCAUGCCUUGAUUGUUAAGUAAAAGGGUUCCUUUCGCCUUCUUGUUUUGAAAGGCACGGAUCGGGACUGCGUGCACAGAGAGUUUGGAACCAGUUCAAUGAUUUUGUAUUUAGUUUGAAAUGUAAAAUCAGAUGUUGAAGGUUUAAUUGA